GGGAAUAUUGCACAAUGGGCGAAAGCCUGAUGCAGCCAUGCCGCGUGUGUGAAGAAGGCCUUCGGGUUGUAAAGCACUUUUAUUUGGGAGGAAGGGCGGUAGUUUAAUAUGCUAUCACUGUGACGUUAACAACAGAAGAAGCACCGUCUAACUUCGUGCCAGCAGCCGCGGUAAUAA
rnacentral:rRNA from 1 species